UGAGAGUCGGCGACAAACUUACUAUUAUAUUUGUCUAACUUCUCCGAAGAAAAACCACGCAUCUCGGCAUCUCACAUGUCAUAUGUCACGCCGUUGUAUUAAAUUAUUGUCUGCCGAAAUCCGUGGCGUUGUCGGAUGCACAACCGGCCUAUUUGCAGUGCGAGGGGGUUCUGUGAUCGAAUCCCGAACUAUCGUCACACACCAAUUACUGUGAUAAUCUUCACCCAUGCAGAAUGUUUUGGAGACUUUCUGCAAGCAAUUGCCGAAACUGGAGCUGCACGCCCACCUCAAUGGAUCGCUGAGCACGCAGACUUUACGUGCACUGCACGCCAUGCAGUGCGAGUCGAGGGGUGACGACGACACGCCUUGGGACGAGUGCGAGGCCGUCAUCAGUCACGGGGACAGCAGGACGCUCGAA